AUGAACGCUGGCGGCGUGCCUAAUACAUGCAAGUCGAGCGAACGGACGAGAAGCUUGCUUCUCUGAUGUUAGCGGCGGACGGGUGAGUAACACGUGGAUAACCUACCUAUAAGACUGGGAUAACUUCGGGAAACCGGAGCUAAUACCGGAUAAUAUUUUGAACCGCAUGGUUCAAAAGUGAAAGACGGUCUUGCUGGCACUUAUAGAUGGAUCCGCGCUGCAUUAGCUAGUUGGUAAGGUAACGGCUUACCAAGGCAACGAUGCAUAGCCGACCUGAGAGGGUGAUCGGCCACACUGGAACUGAGACACGGUCCAGACUCCUACGGGAGGCAGCAGUAGGGAAUCUUCCGCAAUGGGCGAAAGCCUGACGGAGCAACGCCGCGUGAGUGAUGAAGGUCUUCGGAUCGUAAAACUCUGUUAUUAGGGAAGAACAUAUGUGUAAGUAACUGUGCACAUCUUGACGGUACCUAAUCAGAAAGCCACGGCUAACUACGUG
rnacentral:rRNA from 1 species